UCCCGAGUGGCCAAAGGGAGCAGACUGUAAAUCUGCCGGCUCCGCCUUCGAUGGUUCGAAUCCGUCC
rnacentral:tRNA from 1 species